rnacentral:rRNA from 1 species
ACGUAGGAGGCGAGCGUUAUCCGGAUUUACUGGGCGUAAAGCGCGUGCAGGCGGGGCGAUAAGUCGUGCGUGAAAGCUCCCAGGCUUAACUGGGAGAGGUCGUUCAAUACUGCGGGGCUUGAGGUAGGGAGAGGGGUGUGGAAUUCCCGGUGUAGUGGUGGAAUGCGUAGAGAUCGGGAGGAACACCAGUGGCGAAGGCGGCACCCUGGCCCAGACCUGACGCUGAGGUGCGAAAGCGUGGGGAGCAAACAG